UUCUCAAUCCGGGGCAAUCUCCCAGGGCAUUGCGGUGGCACGGGAGACAUUUCAGGUGACUUGGAUAACUCACAUCUCCCCCCCGACUCCGGGUCCCUAAGCAGGGUUCCCGGCGAGGUGGUGCUAGGAGGUGGGAGUGGGCUGGCUCGGGGUGCCCAGCCGUGGGAGGUGCCCCCGGAGGAGGGGAGGGAUCCGGUCCUCGAAUGAAUGAAGUGCCGGGGCCGGUGGAGUGGCAGGCUGACCCCCCGCCCCCCGGCCCCCGGCCUGCCCUACUCACCUGCGCUCUGCCGAGGGCUGGGCAGGACCGGCUGCUCCGGAGUCCCCGGGCCGAGGCCGCGGCCGCUCCUGGCGCCUGUCCGCACUCGGCGGGCACCGGUGCGGGCACCGGCGCGGGCACCGGCAGGGGCACCGGGCGGCGGCAGGGCUCCCCGGGAUGGGGCGGAGUCCCCGGGGAGGAGGCGGGCUGCCCGGGAUCCGGGCCCGGCCCUGGAAUCCCUGUGGGGCGGCGGGGCGAGGACCUGGUCCGGCAGGUUCUUGCCACGGCGCCUCCGCCCCCUCCCCAGCCCCCGAGGCCGGCCCGACCCCCGCCCCGCCCAAGGGUCCGGCGGUCCCCCUGGCACUGCCCAGCACGGGGCGGCCCUCGACCUCGGGGGACGUCGGGGACUCCGGGGCCGGGUGGUCCCGGGGGGCGCAGCGGGCAUGGCUGGCCAGGUCCGAGGUGCUGCCCACCGCCGGCCUCUGCAGGCGCCCCAGGGGCUGGGCGGGCUUCGAGGGGCUCCGGGGGGCGGCCAGAUGCCACAGACUGGCCAGCCAGCGACUCAGAGACCGUCUCCGCAGGUCCGCCUCCGACCGGCUCCUCUUUCCAGCCUGGGGAGAGGAGAGGGGAGGCUCGUAUGGAGAACCCGGGGUCCGGGGAGGGGGAAAGACCCCCCUCUACACCCCCCUCUAGACGGGCCCAAGCCAGAGAGGAGAUCAGAGUGUCAACGUGUCUGUGUAACGACCCCCGCCCCAGCUCUCCGGCUGUCCAUCAUCCACUCUGAUGACCCGG
rnacentral:lncRNA from 1 species